CCUCCCGCAGCGCCUGCAGGCGCGGUCCCGCCCGGCGUGCCCCAGGCGCCCCACGCGCCCCACGCGCCCAGACGCGGCCCCGAUAGGUUUCCGCUCCCCUUCACGCCCGGGAAGCCAGAGGGUCGCCCGAUCGCCCGCCUCUCCCGGGCCCCAGCCUCACCGCCCAGCCCCGUUUCCGGUUAAAAUACCCAGAGCUUAGAUGGGCCCUCCCCGGCUCGGGCGCUGGUAGGGGUCGGUCAGCGGGUUGGCUGCCUGAUGGAUUGAUGUAUUCGCCUGGCUCAUCUGGGCUCCAAGUCACGGGACAAACGCACAUGCCACACCCUCCCGAGACACCUGUCCCCCGACCCGCAGGCCACCCGGCCCAGUUAGGACCUCAAGGUUUUGGAUCCUGACUCGUUCUGGCUUGUCUUGCUCUAGACAUGCUUACUAUCCAGCUUGAAAAUGGAUCUUCUCUAAGAAAUUCCCGCUUGGAAUCAGUUCCAAAAGAAAACCCUAGUAAGUAGCUAGAGCCCAUAUCUGCGUCUGGAGGGUUGUCUGCAGCAGCAGAAACCCCCGGGGGAGACAAGGGCAGGGCCACAGAGCUGAAGGCACGCACCCCUGACUGUUCACUUCGAAAUCCGCCACGCUGCGCAGCCACAAGGACUUGGCAGUCGCCACCAGCCAUCGAUGGAAGCUUGCUUUGAGUCGUUCGGGGUAAUAAAGUUAUUUCUCAUGGAA